rnacentral:rRNA from 1 species
ACGGCGAGUGAAGCGGCAAAAGCUCAAAUUUGAAAUCUAGCACUUUCAGUGUUCGAGUUGUAAUUUGAAGAAGGUAACUUUGGUUUUGGCUCUUGUCUAUGUUCCUUGGAACAGGACGUCACAGAGGGUGAGAAUCCCGUGCGAUGAGAUGCCCAAUUCCAUGUAAAGUGCUUUCGAAGAGUCGAGUUGUUUGGGAAUGCAGCUCUUAGUGGGUGGUAAAUUCCAUCUAAAGCUAAAUAUUGGCGAGAGACCGAUAGCGAACAAGUACAGUGAUGGAAAGAUGAAAAGAACUUUGAAAAGAGAGUGAAAAAGUACGUGAAAUUGUUGAAAGGGAAGGGCUUGAGAUCACACUUGGUGUUUUGCGUUCCCUUCCUUUUUGGUUGGGUUCCUCG